AUGCACUUGCCGCUGCCGCUGGGGGCUGAACGCUUUUUGGAUAGAAAGUCUCUUUGUGUUGGGGGGCGUCGUCUAGGGCCUAGUCUGAGUGGCAGGGCUUCGAGGGCAUUGAUCGGGAUGGGCAAGGUAGCUACAGGAAGAUUGCUUAUCCCUGGGGCUUCUUCCAGCAGGUCCUGUGCACUGGCCUGCAGGCCCAGCGUGAGCACCAGGGCCCAGAGCGUCAGCAUCCUAGUGGUUGACACCUGCAAAGAAGGCUUCGUCAGACACCACGUUCCCCGUGGGGCCCAGAGCUGCUGUGUGUGUGUGUGCAGGGUGGUACCCUGGCUGGCGCUGGAGGGCACCACUCCCGGGCAGCUGGAGACACCUCUGGAUGACUUUCAGCGGUCACAUCCCUGCGUGGGCUCCUGUUCCCUCACCACCGCGAUCCCCGAAGUCUGUGCCUUGCCCACAGUAGGGGUGCCCUGGAGGCUGGGUGUCCUUCGCAGUUCCCUGCAUGGACCCCACAGACUCUGUCUCCUCACCCCUUCGCCUUUUGUCUCCAUCAGGGUUUGUGACGUCGGGGUCAUGGGUGUUUGCUCUUGUCAUGCGCACACAUUAACAGAAGCAAUCCCUAUGCCAUCUGCCAGCCCCCAGUAGGGCAACCAUGGCAGACAGAAGUGCCUGGCAGGACACACUCUGAAGCCAGCGGCCCCGUUCAUCUUUGAAUAUAAAUGAGGCUUUUUGGAAAAAAACGCAACCUCGUCAGAAUUUCAUCAGUCUUCUCAUUUUACCCUCAUCUGCGAGAAAUUUGAACUAAGCAUCUCACAUGAUACCGGCGCACAGUUUAAGGAAAAACCAAAAUCUCUGGGAGAAUCAGUAAUCAGUUAUCCUGUGUCUUAGGCCUCCCCACCCCUGCAGGCAGGUGGCCUGUGUGUGCCGGACCAGAAAAUGCGUCAGCCCCAGCGAGGGGUCCCGGCAGGCACUGUCCCCUGCUUGUUCCAGGAUCAGUUUCCACUCUCGUGCAUGCCACGCAGUGAGUUCUUACCUGGCACAGAGUGGACGGGACAAAGUUUUCAGAAGCUGCCACUCCUUCUGCUCUUGCCUCUGGGCUGCUGGUGCUGAGGCUGUGUCUCAUUUUUAUAGACCCGCAUCUCGUGGAGAGGCCGUCAGAUGUGCUGAUAAGGGUGGCGUGAUCCAGGCUGCCUUCCAAGAUCAGCACCUGCCAUUGUUCCCUCAUUUCUCUGUGUCCCCCUGGAUGGCGUGCAGAGGGCUUGGCGCUUCUCAGGAACAGGUGGGAGGGCUCUGUCCCGCCCUCAUUGCUACCUUCUUGGGCUGGGAGCCACGAAGGUGCUGGCGGAGCCUGGAUGGGGCCCUGGGCACUCAGCGCUAAGUGGCCACCCCAUGUCCUGACCCCAGGGGCAGCUGAGUAGGCCCUGCUUGGGUCCUGGAGUCAGGAAGUCCUGGGUUCAGGUCCUGGUUGUGCCGCUUGGCGGCUUUGGGACCUCUGGCUAUCACCUGACCUCUCUGGAGUGCCAGUGCCCCCAUUCACUGACCUGGUAACAGAUGUGCCAGGCUCCGAGGGCACACCUGAGGCAGACCCCACUCUGCCUCUGGUUGCGGGGAGCAUCCAGGCUUCUGAGGGGGGGUAGACACUCGUGAAGUCAUUCAACACGCAUGAUGAUUUAUCGGAGGGCGAGUGACAGAAGGGGGUGCUCUGUGGGAAAGGAGCUUAGUUCUGCGAGUGCACAUGGGAGCCGGGGCGCUCCCGGGAGCUGGCGUCCGAGGAUGAGCAGGUGUUGUGGAGGUGGUCUGGGUCCGGCCUGCGGACAGCCGUCCCAGGCAGAGAGGUGCUCAUAGGCCAUGGUGCGUUUGGGGCAUUCAGUUCCCGGGAACAGGUGUCUGGGGAGAAGGGGAGAAGCACAUGAGCAGCUUGGUGCAGAAGGGGCAGAAAAUAAAUUCCGAAUGAUGAGUUUGGGUCA
rnacentral:lncRNA from 1 species